rnacentral:rRNA from 1 species
AUUGAACGCUGGCGGCAUGCCUUACACAUGCAAGUCGAACGGCAGCGGACCUUCGGGUGCCGGCGAGUGGCGAACGGGUGAGUAAUAUAUCGGAACGUACCUUUCAGUGGGGGAUAACGUAGCGAAAGUUACGCUAAUACCGCAUAUUCUGUGAGCAGGAAAGCAGGGGAUCGCAAGACCUUGCGCUGAUUGAGCGGCCGAUAUCAGAUUAGCUAGUUGGUGAGGUAAAGGCUCACCAAGGCGACGAUCUGUAGCGGGUCUGAGAGGAUGAUCCGCCACACUGGAACUGAGACACGGUCCAGACUCCUACGGGAGGCAGCAGUGGGGAAUUUUGGACAAUGGGCGCAAGCCUGAUCCAGCCAUGCCGCGUGAGUGAAGAAGGCCUGGUUGUAAGACUCUUCGUCCGGAGAAGUACGCGACAGUAAUACCUACGUGUGAUGACGGUACCGGAAGUAAGAAGACA